GAUGAACGCUGGCGUCGUGCCUAAUACAUGCAAGUCGAGCGAAUGGAUUAAGAGCUUGCUCUUAUGAAGUUAGCGGCGGACGGGUGAGUAACACGUGGGUAACCUGCCCAUAAGACUGGGAUAACUCCGGGAAACCGGGGCUAAUACCGGAUAACAUUUUGAACCGCAUGGUUCGAAAUUGUAAGGCGGCUUCGGCUGUCACUUAUGGAUGGACCCGCGUCGCAUUGGCUAGUUGGUGAGGGAACGGCUCACCAAGGCAACGAUGCGUAGCCGACCUGAGAGGGUGAUCGGCCACACUGGGACUGAGACACGGCCCAGACUCCUACGGGAGGUAGCAGUAGGGAAUCUUCCGCAAUGGACGAAAGUCUGACGGAGCAACGCCGCGUGAGUGAUGAAGGCGUUCGGGUCGUAAAACUCUGUUGUUAGGGAAGAACUGGUGCUAGUUGAAUAAGCUGGCACCUUGACGGUACCUAACCAGAAAGCCACGGCUAACUACGUGCCAGCCGCCGCAGUAA
rnacentral:rRNA from 1 species